UCGAGAAUUUUUCACAAUGGGCGAGAGCCUGAUGGAGCGACGCCGCGUGGGGGAUGAAUGGCUUCGGCCCGUAAACCCCUGUCAUUCGCGAGCAAACGUUAUUAUUUAAAAGGUGAUAGCCUGAUAGUAGCGAAAGAGGAAGGGACGGCUAACUCUGUGCCAGCAGCCGCGGUAAUACAGAGGUCCCAAGCGUUGUUCGGAUUUACUGGGCGUAAAGGGUGCGUAGGUGGUGGGGUAAGUCGGAUGUGAAAUCUCCGAGCUCAACUCGGAAAGUGCACUGGAAACUACCCUGCUCGAGGGUUGGAGGGGGGACUGGAAUACUUGGUGUAGCAGUGAAAUGCGUAGAUAUCAAGUGGAACACCAGUGGCGAAGGCGAGUCCCUGGACAACUCCUGACACUGAGGCACGAAAGCUAGGGGAGCAAACAG
rnacentral:rRNA from 1 species